UACGGGGGGGGGCAAGCGUUGUUCGGAAUUACUGGGCGUAAAGGGCGCGUAGGCGGCCAUCUAAGUCAGACGUGAAAUCCCUCGGCUCAACCGAGGAACUGCGUCUGAUACUGGAAGGCUUGAAUCCGGGAGAGGGAUGUGGAAUUCCAGGUGUAGCGGUGAAAUGCGUAGAUAUCUGGAGGAACACCGAUGGCGAAGGCGGCAUCCUGGACCGGUAUUGACGCUGAGGCGCGAAAGCUAGGGGAGCA
rnacentral:rRNA from 1 species